UCUGGUGCUUUAAGAGAAGGGGUCACACCUGUUCCCAUCCCGAACACAGAAGUUAAGCCUUUCAUCGCUGAUGAUAGUCGUUAUUGGCAAAAGUAGGCUAGCGCCAGAA
rnacentral:rRNA from 6 species